UAGGGAAUCUUCGGCAAUGGACGGAAGUCUGACCGAGCAACGCCGCGUGAGUGAAGAAGGUUUUCGGAUCGUAAAGCUCUGUUGUAAGAGAAGAACGAGUGUGAGAGUGGAAAGUUCACACUGUGACGGUAUCUUACCAGAAAGGGACGGCUAACUACGUGCCAGCAGCCGCGGUAAUACGUAGGUCCCGAGCGUUGUCCGGAUUUAUUGGGCGUAAAGCGAGCGCAGGCGGUUAGAUAAGUCUGAAGUUAAAGGCUGUGGCUUAACCAUAGUAGGCUUUGGAAACUGUUUAACUUGAGUGCAAGAGGGGAGAGUGGAAUUCCAUAUGUAGCGGUGAAAUGCGUAGAUAUAUGGAGGAACACCGGUGGCGAAAGCGGCUCUCUGGUCUGUAACUGACGCUGAGGCUCGAAAGCGUGGGGAGCGAACAGGAUUAGAUACCCUGGUAGUCCACGCCGUAACGAUGAGUGCUAGGUGUUGGGUCCUUUCCGGGAUUCAGUGCCGCAGCUAACGCAUUAAGCACUCCGCCUGGGGAGUACGACCGCAAGGUU
rnacentral:rRNA from 1 species